rnacentral:rRNA from 1 species
ACACAUGCAAGUUCGAGACGGAUGACAGGAAGCUUGCUCCUGAAUUCAGCGGCGGACGGGUGAGUAAUGCCUAGGAAUCUGCCUGGUAGUGGGGGACAACGUUUCGAAAGGAACGCUAAUACCGCAUACGUCCUACGGGAGAAAGCAGGGGACCUUCGGGCCUUGCGCUAUCAGAUGAGCCUAGGUCGGAUUAGCUAGUUGGUGAGGUAAUGGCUCACCAAGGCGACGAUCCGUAACUGGUCUGAGAGGAUGAUCAGUCACACUGGAACUGAGACACGGUCCAGACUCCUACGGGAGGCAGCAGUGGGGAAUAUUGGACAAUGGGCGAAAGCCUGAUCCAGCCAUGCCGCGUGUGUGAAGAAGGUCUUCGGAUUGUAAAGCACUUUAAGUUGGGAGGAAGGGUUGUAGAUUAAUACUCUGCAAUUUUGACGUUACCGACAGAAUAAGCACCGGCUAACUCUGUGCCAAGU